CCUUUCCUAGAAGCACUACAGGUGUGACUUGCGUGUCACGUGUGCAUCAGUAGAUGGCAGAGAGGCUAGAGGUGAUGUCUAUGCCCAGUGUUCUGACUUAUGAACAUCUGAAUGAUUAGUAACCUAACAUU
ensembl:snoRNA